GUAGGGAAUAUUGCGCAAUGGACGAAAGUCUGACGCAGCGACGCCGCGUGAGUGAUGAAGGCCUUAGGGUCGUAAAGCUCUGUUGAAUGGGAAGAAAAAAAUGACGGUACCAUUCGAGGAAGGACCGGCUAACUUCGUGCCAGCAGCCGCGGUAAUACGAGGGGUCCUAGCGUUGUUCGGAAUCAUUGGGCGUAAAGGGUGUGUAGGUGGCCAUGUAAGUCAGGUGUGAAAGCCCCGGGCUCAACCCGGGAAGUGCACUUGAUACUGCGUGGCUUGAGUACCGAAGAGGGUAGUGGAAUUCCAGGUGUAGUGGUGAAAUACGUAGAUAUCUGGAGGAACACCGGUGGCGAAGGCGGCUACCUGGUCGAGUACUGACACUGAGACACGAAAGCAUGGGGAUCAAACAGGAUUAGAUACCCUGGUAGUCC
rnacentral:rRNA from 1 species